UACGUAGGGCGCAAGCGUUAUCCGGAAUUAUUGGGCGUAAAGAGCUCGUAGGCGGUUUGUCGCGUCUGCCGUGAAAGUCCGGGGCUCAACUCCGGAUCUGCGGUGGGUACGGGCAGACUAGAGUGAUGUAGGGGAGACUGGAAUUCCUGGUGUAGCGGUGAAAUGCGCAGAUAUCAGGAGGAACACCGAUGGCGAAGGCAGGUCGUCUGGGCAUUAACUGACGCUGAGGAGCGAAAGCAUGGGGAGCGAAUGGG
rnacentral:rRNA from 1 species